CUUAAAUUGAAGAGUUUGAUCAUGGCUCAGAUUGAACGCUGGCGGCAGGCCUAACACAUGCAAGUCGAGCGGAAACGAGUUAUCUGAGCCUUCGGGGGACGAUAACGGCGUCGAGCGGCGGACGGGUGAGUAAUGCCUAGGAAAUUGCCCUGAUGUGGGGGAUAACCAUUGGAAACGAUGGCUAAUACCGCAUAAUGCCUACGGGCCAAAGAGGGGGACCUUCGGGCCUCUCGCGUCAGGAUAUGCCUAGGUGGGAUUAGCUAGUUGGUGAGGUAAGGGCUCACCAAGGCGACGAUCCCUAGCUGGUCUGAGAGGAUGAUCAGCCACACUGGAACUGAGACACGGU
rnacentral:rRNA from 1 species